GGGCUGCGGUGGCGCGCGGCGGCGGCGGCGGCGGCAGCUCGUCCCCGGGCAGCACAGAGGCACCCCCGGAGCCGGGCCAGGUGCCUGCCUCGUCCCAGCACGAUGGGGAAGCAGAACAGCAAACUGCGCCCCGAGAUGCUCCAGGACCUGCGGGAAAACACCGAGUUCUCCGACCUGGAGCUGCAGGGCUGGUACAAGGGUUUCCUGAAGGAUUGUCCCUCCGGGAUCCUCAACGUGGAAGAGUUCAAGAAGAUCUACGCCAACUUCUUCCCUUACGGCGACGCCUCCAAGUUUGCCGAGCACGUCUUCCGCACCUUCGACACCAACGGCGACGGCACCAUCGACUUCCGAGAGUUCAUCAUCGCCCUGAGCGUCACCUCCCGCGGGAAGCUGGAGCAGAAGCUCAUGUGGGCCUUCAGCAUGUACGACCUGGACGGCAACGGCUACAUCAGCCGGGAGGAGAUGCUGGAGAUCGUGCAGGCCAUCUACAAAAUGGUCUCCUCGGUGAUGAACAUGCCCGAAGAUGAAUCGACUCCGGAGAAAAGAACGGAAAAAAUCUUCCGCCAGAUGGAUACUAAUAACGAUGGUAAGCUUUCGCUGGAGGAGUUCAUCAAAGGUGCCAAGAGUGACCCGUCCAUCGUGCGCCUGCUGCAGUGUGACCCCAGCGGUGCCGCACAGUUCUGAGCCCCACGGACCCCCACAGCCUUCCCACAGCCCCACACCACCCCCCGACCCUGCGGCUGGCUACUGCCCCCUGCCCGGCCCCUGUGGUCCCCCCACUGCCCGGCCCCCAUGAGGAGAGAGCUGGAGCCCAGCAGAGGCUGCGGCAAGGGGGGACCCGGGGGGGGACGGUCCCCGUGGCCAGGGGGCUCCCACACUGGUUCAACUGGGGGAAGUAUGGAGCAGGGUCUGCCCUGAGCGAGGAUGUUCCCCCCAGCACCAGGGGCUUGGAGAAGGGGACAACCCAGCCUGGUGGGAAAGGUUCAUGGCGAAGCCACCACCGCAUCCCUGGCAGGCGCAGGGACACAGCCCAGGGGACAAAGACACGGUGGCUUGGGGACCCCCAGCACCCCCCAUGCAUGCAGACAUGGCCAUGGGGCCGAGCCAGCCCCUUCCCCACAGCCAGCACAAGGGCAGGGGCUGCGGGGAGGGGACACACUUCUCGUCUUUUAAUACCUACAGAAUAAAGUUUGUGCCAGUGCAGUCAGUGGUGGGAAAGGGGCAUCAAUGGGGAAUGGUUGUCCCUGCAAGGUCUGGAUCCAGCCCGGUUGCUUCCCUUGGUGCAGCCAAGUCAUGGGGAUGGGCUCAUGGGUCGUGGCUGGUGGCAUCUAAGGGACAUGUCCACGCAGUAGCUGGGUUGAGGGGCAGCGGGGUCCUGGUGUGGGGCUGUGAAGGUGCUGGGACAGGCAGGGCUGGCCGGGCACAUCCACAGGGUUGUCCCUCAGGUGCCACUCAGACCCAGGCAGCUUCCCCACUGUGCAGCCUCAGCAAGCCCAGGCACUGCCUGGGGUCGGGGCUCUCCACAGGGGCUGCCUGCAGGGAGACCAGCGAGCCAGAGGAUGAUGAGAAUGAGGCUUAGUCCUAUCCCAGAGCCCCCGAGCACAGCCAGGUCCAUCCAAGCCCUGCUCGGGCUGAGCCCAGGACCAGGAGUCACUUCCCUCUGGUGCAUUCUGCGGCAGCAGCAGCCAAGGUGGAGGAGACGGAGGGUGAGCAGGAGGCAGCGGAUGCUGAAGACAAUCUCCAUCGAGUCGAGCAGGAGGGAGACAGCCCCGAGGGACAGCGCGGACCUCUGUGGGGACACACAAAGAAGUGGUAAAUGCUCCAUCCCUGGCAGUGUUCAAGGCCAGGUUGGACACAGGGGCUUGGAGCAACCUGCUCUAGUGGAAGGUGUCCCUGCCCGUGGCAGGGGUUGGAACUGGAUGAGCUUUAAGGUCCCUUCCAACACAAACCAGGCUGGGAUUCUGUGGCACAAGGCAUCAAUUCCCACCCAUCCUCCCCAUCCCUGGUGCAAACACCCACUGAGGACUCACACAGACAUGGGUGGGAUCAAAGGGGCACUCGCAGGAGACUGGGGUGAAGGCGACAUCGGUAUCGGUGCAGGGGGACAGCAGCGCCCGGCUGCGGGAUGGUGAUGGCCAGUGCCAGCAGGCAGGACCAGCAGGACCAGCUGCUGGUGGUGCUCAGGGUGAAAACCACUUCUGCAGGAGGGGGAGAGAAGUGGCAACGCAGUGAGGCACCUUUCAGACCUUCUCUGAAAGCAUACAACCGGCCUCUGCAAAAGGUUUUGAAGGCCACGGAGCCAGCAAUAAAGGUACUGAGCAGACAGGGAGGCGUGCGGCUGGCUUGCAGGUAGGGGUAGUUUUCUUUUGACUUUUAAGUACAGGGAGAGAAGAAAGUUUAACAGGGAAAAAACCCACAAUUUUGUUGAUCAAAACAGGCAUGUGGUCCUGUCAUGCAAUACAUCCGGGAAAACAGCCAUCUCAGGAUGCAUCCGAAGAGGGACAGUGAGCAACAACCACCACUAACACUUAAUGAUACGAAGUGCUCAGGCUGUGGCAGGUUCACACUCGUGUUCUUGCAGUGAAACAAUUGCUCUGUGAACUACAUUAUAUUCUGAAUUUCAUCUUCAUUUGCUCGUGGCCAGUAACGUAACACAAGCACCCACGUGUGUGAGGCCUCAAGGUGAAUGGUUGGAGCACCUUAGAUUUUUAAAAGGCAGCAAAAUGGAGGACCUUAAAUUUGAAAUUCCCGGUGUUUCUUGAAGUUGUUCAGCCUCAAAAUACAACCCUGCAAAGCUACAAAGGCAUAAAAUGAGUUGAAACCACUGGUGUUCAGCUAAUAGAUAAUUUGGCUUAGUCAUGCUUACUAGGAACACAAAUCUGUAAGACACAGUCAAAGACAACAAUUCAUUUAAUCCAAACCAUAAUGUUAAAUAUUAACGAUAUCAAUGUU
ensembl:lncRNA